rnacentral:rRNA from 1 species
GAUGAACGCUGGCGGCGUGCCUAAUACAUGCAAGUCGGGCGAACAGAUGAGGAGCUUGCUCCUCUGACGUUAGCGGCGGACGGGUGAGUAACACGUGGAUAACCUACCUAUAAGACUGGGAUAACUUCGGGAAACCGGAGCUAAUACCGGAUAAUAUAUUGAACCGCAUGGUUCAAUAGUGAAAGACGGUUUUGCUGUCACUUAUAGGUGGAUCCGCGCCGCAUUAGCUAGUUGGUAAGGUAACGGCUUACCAAGGCAACGAUGCGUAGCCGACCUGAGAGGGUGAUCGGCCACACUGGAACUGAGACACGGUCCAGACUCCUACGGGAGGCAGCAGUAGGGAAUCUUCCGCAAUGGGCGAAAGCCUGACGGAGCAACGCCGCGUGAGUGAUGAAGGUCUUCGGAUCGUAAAACUCUGUUAUUAGGGAAGAACAAAUGUGUAAGUAACUAUGCACGUCUUGACGGUACCUAAUCAGAAAGCCACGGCUAACUACGUG